CGGUAGGCCUGUUGGAUUCAGAAUAAGAGAAUAUAACUCCCAGAGCCUAGCCCUGUCUGCACUCCCAUAGAUAUGGGCACUCAGAAGUGAGACCACAUCUGGAGUACUCCAUCCUGAAUGCAACCCUAGCAUACUGCUGACUGUCCCUGUUUUGUAUGAUCAGAAAAGUGCUACUAUUGCCAUGAAGUGACAUAUUACCUUUCAUUAACCCUUACAUUUCCUAGAUGAUUGUGUUUUUUCUCCUUUUGUGACAUCCAUUCGUCACACUCUCAGUUGGAGGACUGACAGGAUUGAGAUCUUACUUCUUCAGAAGUGAUCUUACUUCUUUAGAAGUUUAAAGCAACUAUUUCUUCUUCCUGGUGAUUAUAGUGAUAGUGAAUUUUUCAACUGAAAUGUAAAAGUCGGGGGUGUUAUAGAAUAAAUAGAGUAGAUAUGCUAAGCCAGUUUAAGUGACAACACUUUUCGGGAAGAGAGGAUAAAGUUAAGGAAUGAAGCAAGUCAUUAAGCUGAGCAAAAGUGGAAAAAAAAAAAAAAAAAAAUCAGGGGAGCAGAAAAAUGAAUAGAUAGGGCACGCACAAAUCAAUGGCAGGACUGUCAUUAAACUCAAAAGGAGGCAAGUUUUGUUCCCUAAAGAAGGACAAUUUUUGCAAUGACCCUCGUUGUCCACUUUGCAUCAUAUCUCUUUGAAAUUUUAGGCCCCUUUCUUCCAUCUUGAAUGCAGGAUUGCAUAUAUGCAAUACUGGGAAACAAGAACAUUCUGCCUCUAAAACAAUUUUGCUCACACUUCCACCUGCUCACCCUGCCACAUCAUCUGCCUCCUGGAGCAGCCCAGCCUGGCCAAGGGGUGGAUGGAGCCAGGCUGAAUGAAUGAAUGAAUGAAUGAAUGAAUGAAUGAAUGAAUGAAUGAAUGGGGCCUUAUAAAUAUUUCUAUAAUUAGUCAAAGCACAGUAAUUUUUUUCCCUACAGGUUAAAUACUGCUGAUUAGCUGCUUACUUUUUAGAAAGUUCUCUGUCCUUAGUAUUUACACGAGUCUUUUUCUGACCUGCUGUAAGCCCGUUAGUCCAAACCAGCUUUUUUCUUUUUUUCUUUUUUCCCCAAGACUAUUUUUAUGAUUUUCAAGGAUCAAAUAACAUCUAUAACAAUUAGUUUUCCAUA